GGGUUCCGGGAUUGUGGCGGCUAGGGUUCCCAAGAAGGUGCUGCAGUUUGCUGGUAUUGAUGAUGUUUUCACCUCCUCCAGGGGAUCCACCAAGACCCUUGGCAACUUCGUUAAGGUUUGUUUUUGGUAUUCUUACAAGUUUGCUGCUUUUGACAUUUUCAACUAUCAUGAAAAUUUUUAUGGACGAAUUAAGGUUGUAAUUCCAAUGUCACAAUUAAUUUAAGCUUUUUAUGUAAAUUAUUAAUUUUAAAUUUAGGGACGAACUGUUGAUGCUUUAACAGUUGCAAUUGUGGAGUCCAAUCUUUAAUUUACCCUUUGUCUUUCAUUUUUUUUGUGGCCUUUUGUGUAUGAAUGUAUUUGAACAAUCUACCAAUUUUGUCUCCAAAGUGCUACUGUUUCUUGAUUCUUCUAAGUUGUUUAUAAGGUAAUAGAACUAUUUAAGUAAUUUUCAAAAUAUUCAGUAUUGAAUAUUCAUCACUUAGUACCUAUGUUAUUUUACUUAAUAUGUGUUAGUCUAUGGUGUUUUUGCUGCAAUUGAUGGCAUUCAACAUGUAUCAUCACUUGUGUGAUUUGUUACUUGUGUAUGUGUGUUUAUGUGGAUGAUCUUUUGUUAGAGAGGCUAAUGUGUAUUUGUGUGCAUGAUCCUUUGGUGGAGAGGCUAAUGUUCAUGAAAGAAUUGCUAUGAUGUUGUUUUUAGUACCCAUAAUAAUGAUGAUGCUUUGUAUUAUUUACAGGCUACUUUUGAUUGCUUGAUGAAAACCUAUGGAUUCCUGACACCAGAAUUCUGGAAGGAGACUCGCUUCUCCAAAUCUCCAUUCCAAGAGUACACAGAUCUAUUGGCAAAACCAACAGGGAAGACUCUAAUCUUGGAGGAGGAAAGGGUGGAUGCUUGAUUUGCUAGUUUUGGUUUUAUGGAUGUUUUAGAGACAUUGUUAUUUACCUUUGUUGGUUCUGUGCUUUACUUUUGGUUUUGAUAG
rnacentral:lncRNA from 1 species